UCCGAGUUGACCCCGGCAGUCUCCUACGAGUCCCCGGCAUUACCCGCUGGCAACAUAGGACAAGGGUUGCGCUCGUUGCGGGACUUAACCCAACAUCUCACGACACGAGCUGACGACAGCCAUGCACCACCUGUGAUGGGCCCCGAAGGACACCGUAUCUCUACGGCUUUUCCCACCAUGUCAAACCCAGGUAAGGUGGGGAUGACGUAGCUAAGCCUUC
rnacentral:misc_RNA from 1 species